rnacentral:rRNA from 1 species
AGUGAAUAGAUACCCGGGUAGUCCACGCCCUAAACGAUGUCAACUAACUGUUCGAAGUCACUAAGAUUUUGAGUAGUGAAAGCUAAACGCGAUAAGUUGACCGCCUGGGGAGUACGGCCGCAAGGUUGAAACUCAAAGAAAUUGACGGGGGCCCGGCACAAGCGGUGGAGUAUGUGGUUUAAUUCGAUGCAACGCGAAGAACCUUACCCGGUCUUGACAUGGUAGGAAUCUUGUAGAGAUACGAGAGUGCCUUCGGGUAACCGUAACACACAGGUGCUGCACGGCUGUCGUCAGCUCGUGUCGUGAGAUGUUGGGUUAAGUCCCGCAACGAGCGCAACCCUUGCCCUUACGUUACCAUCAUUUAGUUGGGGUACGUCUAAGGGGACGUGCCGGUGAUAAACCGGAGGAAGGUGGGGACGACGUCAAGUCAUCAUGGCCCGUUACUGACCGGGGGCGUACACACGUACUACAAUGGUCGGUACAGACGGUCGCAAGCUCGCGAGAGUAAGCUAAUCCGAGAAAACCGAUCGUAGUCCGGAUCGCAGUCUGCAACUCGACUGCGUGAA